UGAAUACGAGAUGCUACGGCGUCGAAGCAGUGUAUGUCAGACUUCCAAGAAAAGCUCGCAAUGUCAUAAAUAAAGAAUGCCUGUACCAUAACCGACACAGGUGGGUAGGUAGAGUAUACUAAGGGGCGCGAGAUAACUCUCUCUAAGGAACUCGGCAAAAUAACUCCGUAACUUCGGGAGAAGGAGUGCCUUCUUUAAGAAGGUUGCAAUAACAAGAUCCAAGCAACUGUUUAUCAAAAACACAGGUCUCCGCUAAGUCGUAAGACGAUGUAUGGGGGCUGACGCCUGCCCAGUGCCAGAAGGUUAAAGAAGUUGGUUAGCUUUUGCGAAGCUGAUGUCUGAAGCCCUGGUGAACGGCGGCCGUAACUAUAACGGUCCUAAGGUAGCGAAAUUCCUUGUCGGGUAAGUUCCGACCCGCACGAAAGGCGUAAUGAUUUGGAUGUCUCGGAGAGGGACUCGGUGAAAUAGACUUGUCUGUAAAGAUGCGGACUACCUGCACCAGGACAGAAAGACCCUAUGAAGCUUUACUGUAACUUGAAAUUGAAAUUGGACUUUAUUUGCGCAGUAUAGGUGGAAGGCGUUGAAAGUAAUCUUGCGGGAUUAGUGGAGCCAUCAGUGAGAUACCACUCCUAUAAUGUUAGAUUUCUAACUUUGGAUCAUGAUCUGGUCAAAGAACAGUUUCAGGCGGGCAGUUUGACUGGGGCGGUCGCCUCCCAAAUGGUAACGGAGGCGUACAAAGGUUUCCUCUGAACGGGUAGAAAUCGUAUCUAGAGUGUAAAGGCAUAAGGAAGCUUGACUGUGAGACCUACAAGUCGAGCAGGGACGAAAGUCGGUCUUAGUGAUCUGACGGUGCUGAGUGGAAAGGCCGUCACUCAACGGAUAAAAGUUACUCUAAGGAUAACAGGCUGAUCUCCCCCAAGAGUUCACAUCGACGGGGAGGUUUGGCACCUCGAUGUCGGCUCAUCGCAUCCUGGGGCGGUAGUACGUCCCAAGGGUUGGGCUGUUCGCCCAUGAAAGCGGUACGCGAGCUGGGUUCAGAACGUCGUGAGACAGUUCGGUCCAUAUCCGGUGUAGGCGUUAGAACAUUGAGAGGAGCCUUCUUUAGUACGAGAGGACCGAGAAGGACAUGCCUCUGGUGUACCAGUUAUCGUGCCAACGGUAAACGCUGGGUAGCUAUGUAUGGAGAGGAUAACCGCUGAAAGCAUCUAAGUGGGAAGCCCACCUCAAGAUGAG
rnacentral:rRNA from 1 species